AUUGAACGCUGGCGGCAGGCUUAACACAUGCAAGUCGAGCGGGGGAAGGUAGCUUGCUACCGGACCUAGCGGCGGACGGGUGAGUAAUGCUUAGGAAUCUGCCUAUUAGUGGGGGACAACAUCUCGAAAGGGAUGCUAAUACCGCAUACGUCCUACGGGAGAAAGCAGGGGAUCUUCGGACCUUGCGCUAAUAGAUGAGCGUAAGUCGGAGUAGCUAGUUGGUGGGGUAAAGGCCUACCAAGGCGACGAUCUGUAGCGGGUCUGAGAGGAUGAGCCGCCACACUGGGACUGAGACACGGCCCAGACUCCUACGGGAAGCAGCAGUGGGGAAUAUCGGACAAUGGGGGGAACCCUGAUCCAGCCAUGCCGCGUGUGUGAAGAAGGCCUUAUGGUUGUAAAGCACUUUAAGCGAGGAGGAGGCUACUUUAGUUAAUACCUAGAGAUAGUGGACGUUACUCGCAGAAUAAGCACCGGCUAACUCUGUGCCAGCCGCCGCUGUAA
rnacentral:rRNA from 1 species